GGAGUGGGAGGAGGAGGAGGAGGAGGAGAGGGAGCCGAAGGACCAUUUAAAGCGAUAGCAAUCCGUGCCCUCUCCCCAGUGCUGGGCUGUGGAAGAGCUCCGGCGGCUAGCAGAGAGCGCCCGUGCGGAGCGCCGGCCGGCGAGCCCGAGAGCGCACGGCGCCCGGAGCUGGCAGGCGCCGCGGGACCCCCCACACUCUCCUCCUGCCGCCCCUCCCCGGCUGCCCCCACCCUCGGUGACAGCAGGAGCCUCCUCCGGGCUUUCCCCGAGGAACUCAUCCCACGGAGGAGCCUGGACCCCGGCGAGCCCGCCACCCACCGCACCCUCCAGCGCCGCCGCCGCCGCCGCCGGAGCCGGAGCCGCCGGAGCAGCCGGAGCCGCCGGGGCCGCCGGGGCAGCAGGAGUCGCCCGGGCAGCCGGGGCGCCGGAGCAGCGGGAGCAGCAUGGUCCAGCUCCGGCAGCUGCUCCGCGCCCUGACUUUGAUGAAGUUCCCCUGCUGCGUGCUGGAGGUGCUCCUGUGCGCGCUGGCGGCGGCGGCGCGCGGCCAGGAGAUGUACGCCCCGCACUCGAUCCGGAUCGAGGGGGACGUCACCCUCGGGGGGCUGUUCCCGGUGCACGCCAAGGGCCCCAGCGGGGUGCCCUGCGGCGACAUCAAGAGGGAGAACGGGAUCCACAGGCUGGAGGCGAUGCUCUACGCCCUGGACCAGAUCAACAGCGAUCCCAACCUGCUGCCCAACGUGACCCUGGGCGCGCGGAUCCUGGACACCUGCUCCCGGGACACGUACGCGCUGGAGCAGUCGCUCACGUUCGUGCAGGCGCUCAUCCAGAAGGACACCUCCGACGUGCGCUGCACCAACGGCGAGCCCCCCGUGUUCGUCAGGCCUGAGAAAGUGGUGGGCGUGAUCGGGGCGUCGGGGAGCUCCGUCUCCAUCAUGGUAGCCAACAUCCUGAGGCUGUUCCAGAUACCCCAGAUUAGUUAUGCAUCGACGGCACCUGAAUUAAGUGACGACCGGCGCUAUGACUUCUUCUCCCGCGUGGUCCCACCUGACUCCUUCCAGGCCCAGGCCAUGGUAGACAUUGUGAAGGCCCUCGGCUGGAAUUACGUGUCUACUCUCGCAUCCGAAGGAAGUUACGGAGAGAAAGGUGUGGAAUCCUUCAUGCAGAUUUCCAAAGAGGCAGGUGGGCUCUGCAUUGCCCAGUCGGUGAGAAUCCCCCAGGAGCGCAAAGAUAGGACCAUCGACUUCGAUAAGAUUAUCAAACAGCUCCUGGACACCCCCAACUCCAGGGCCGUCGUGAUUUUUGCCAACGAUGAGGAUAUAAAGCAGAUCCUUGCAGCAGCCAAAAGAGCUGACCAAGUGGGCCACUUUCUUUGGGUGGGCUCAGACAGCUGGGGAUCCAAAAUAAACCCACUGUACCAACACGAAGACAUCGCAGAAGGAGCCAUCACCAUUCAGCCCAAGAGAGCAACCGUGGAAGGGUUUGAUGCCUAUUUUACAACCCGCACACUUGAAAACAACAGAAGAAACGUCUGGUUUGCUGAAUACUGGGAGGAAAACUUCAACUGCAAGCUGACGAUUAGUGGGUCAAAGAAAGAAGACACAGAUCGCAAAUGCACAGGACAGGAGAGAAUUGGAAAAGAUUCCAACUAUGAGCAGGAGGGGAAAGUUCAGUUCGUGAUUGACGCAGUCUACGCGAUGGCUCAUGCCCUACAUCACAUGAACAAGGAUCUCUGUGCGGACUACCGGGGCGUCUGUCCGGAGAUGGAGCAAGCUGGGGGCAAGAAGUUGUUGAAGUACAUCCGCAACGUUAAUUUCAAUGGGAGUGCUGGCACCCCGGUCAUGUUUAACAAGAAUGGAGAUGCCCCGGGGCGGUACGACAUCUUUCAGUACCAGACAACCAACACCACAACCCCCGGCUACCGUCUGAUUGGACAGUGGACAGAUGAACUUCAGCUCAACAUCGAGGACAUGCAGUGGGGCAAAGGGGUCCGGGAGAUCCCCCACUCUGUGUGCACCCUGCCCUGCAAGCCUGGCCAGAGGAAGAAGACGCAGAAGGGCACGCCCUGCUGCUGGACCUGCGAGCCCUGCGACGGCUACCAGUUCCAGUUCGACGAGAACACGUGCCAGCACUGCCCGUACGACCAGCGGCCCAACGAGAACCGGACCGGCUGCCAGGACAUCCCCAUCAUCAAGCUGGAGUGGCACUCGCCCUGGGCCGUGAUCCCCGUCUUCCUGGCCAUGCUGGGCAUCGUCGCCACCAUCUUCGUCAUGGCCACGUUCAUCCGCUACAACGACACGCCCAUUGUCCGGGCGUCCGGCCGGGAGCUCAGCUACGUUCUGCUGACGGGCAUCUUCCUCUGCUACAUCAUCACGUUCCUGAUGAUCGCCAAGCCCGACGUGGCGGUGUGCUCCUUCCGGAGGGUGUUCCUGGGCCUGGGGAUGUGCAUCAGUUACGCGGCCCUCCUGACCAAGACCAACCGGAUUUACCGCAUAUUCGAGCAGGGCAAGAAGUCCGUGACGGCUCCCAGGCUCAUCAGCCCGUCGUCGCAGCUGGCCAUCACUUCGAGCCUGAUAUCGGUCCAGCUUCUGGGCGUCUUCAUCUGGUUUGGUGUGGACCCGCCCAACAUCAUCGUAGACUAUGACGAGCAUAAGACCAUGAACCCCGAGCUGGCCAGGGGAGUGCUCAAAUGUGACAUCACAGACCUGCAGAUCAUUUGCUCCUUGGGAUAUAGCAUCCUCCUCAUGGUCACGUGUACUGUGUACGCCAUCAAGACUCGGGGUGUCCCCGAGAACUUUAACGAAGCCAAGCCCAUUGGGUUCACGAUGUACACGACGUGUAUAGUGUGGCUUGCCUUCAUCCCCAUUUUUUUUGGCACCGCGCAGUCGGCGGAAAAGCUCUACAUACAAACCACCACGCUUACAAUCUCCAUGAACCUAAGUGCGUCAGUGGCGCUGGGGAUGCUAUACAUGCCGAAAGUGUACAUCAUCAUUUUCCACCCUGAACUCAAUGUCCAGAAACGGAAGCGAAGCUUCAAGGCAGUAGUCACAGCAGCUACCAUGUCAUCACGGCUGUCACACAAACCUAGUGACAGACCCAACGGUGAGGCAAAGACAGAACUCUGUGAAAACGUAGAUCCAAACAACUGUAUACCACCAGUAAGAAAGAGUGUACAAAAGUCUGUUACUUGGUACACUAUCCCACCAACAGUAUAGCUUUUGCCUGCUUUCCAAAAGGCCCCAAACAUCAUUUUCAUUUUUAAAGAAACAGUGUGUGUCCUAAACCAAGGUCAGUUAAUCUCCACAGUCUUCCCUCCUCCCAAUUUCUGUGAAUGAGCAUCUUCUCUGGACUCAAGUGAUGGUGACUUGUUUCUGCCUCCUAAGGACAAGGCUCAGCUUCGAGGAUUUGUUUUCCUAUCUUUUCUUUUUUCUUUUUCUUUUUUUUUUUUUGGCUGUGCAAUGGAACUUGGAUGCAUUUUAAAAUAACUUUCUCUAGGAAUCAAAGGGUAAUCCCAGAGUACCCCAGCUUGCACCAAGAGGCCCGAGGAGGAUACAUCUCCAAAGCCUGAUCUUGCUGAGCUGACCCAAGCAAUCAGAAGAACAUGACAGGAAUCACCCAUCCCACUUGCUGCCCUGCUGCAAAAAAGAAGUAUGUCAGUUAUAACAACCUGGUGAUCUAAGCUGUUCCAUUCCUUGGAACCACGGAGGAGGAAGACCCUCAGUUAUUUCGUCAUCCAACCCGGCACAGGACUCUUUUGGUCCUGCCCGCUGCCCAUCACCGGAGGAGCAUCCUCAGCCGGAAGACCAAUCAAUAUUAGAGGAUCCAAGUGUCCAACACAGCUGCUUUAUGAAAUAUUCCUACUUUAUCUUGGCUUAAUAAGUCACUGGCAUCAGCACUGCCAACUUGGCUGCAGUUUUGGACCUUCCCUGCGGAAGGGAGUGUUGAAACUCAAGUCCCACCCAGGCUCUCUAGGAUGAACUGCCAAGAGCCGCCAUGACUGUUCUCGGGGCUGACCUGUCUCUUUCUACGUAUGUACACCCAGGUUGCAAGGUUUUGAAAUUUUCUGUACAGAUUGUGAGGACUUUUGCACUUUGCCAUCCGAUGUUGUACCUCGGUUCACCGUUUGUUUUCGAAUGCCCUGUUUUCAUAGCGCCCUAUUCUCUCAGACGGCAAGAUAUUUGGGGAAAUUUUAAAACAAAAAUUUUAAAAAAGAUCUCGGCGGACUAAAAUCUAUAUUUAAACCACACACACACACACACACACACACACACACACACACACGACUGUAUAAUUAUGAGUAUAGUACCGUUGCAAAUCAUGUUAUUUUUUUUAAGACAAAAAGAUACUUAAAGACCAAUAACUGUGCUGAUAUAGUAGGUCCCACCUAUCUGUCGAUAGGUCACACAAAAGGAAGGUAUAGGCUGAACUGAAUAGAGGUCUUGAUGUUCGGAAUGCAUGCCGGUAAUGUAUUUUACAGUACAUGUUAAUACUAUGUUCGAUAUUUGUAUUUGUGUUCUUCUCCUGUUAUUUUAUUUAGGGUAUCUGGAUAUUUUGCAGUAAUUUUAAUAAUGCUCAAGCUCUUUGAAGAAAAGAAUAUGGAUUUUUCAUGUCUUGAGGUUUUGUUCUUGCCCCCCUAUGACUGACUGGUGUGAUAAGGACUUUUAAAAAAAAGCAUGUAUGUUUUCUACUGUUUGUAAUAAGUACUUUCGUUAAUCUUGCUGCUUAUGUGCCAAUUUAGUGGAGAAAUUCCUUGCUGAGAAAUUCCUUCUUUCCAUUCUCUUUCAAUUCUGUGAUAUUGUCCAAGAAUGUAUCAAUAAAAUACUUUGGUUAACUUUUGUA